rnacentral:rRNA from 1 species
GACGAACGCUGGCGGCGUGCUUAACACAUGCAAGUCGAACGGAAAGGCCCUGCUUUUGUGGGGUGCUCGAGUGGCGAACGGGUGAGUAACACGUGAGUAACCUGCCCUUGACUUUGGGGUAACUUCAGGAAACUGGGGCUAAUACCGGAUAGGAGCUCCUGCUGCAUGGUGGGGGUUGGAAAGUUUCGGCGGUUGGGGAUGGACUCGCGGCUUAUCAGCUUGUUGGUGGGGUAGUGGCUUACCAAGGCUUUGACGGGUAGCCGGCCUGAGAGGGUGACCGGCCACAUUGGGCCUGAGAUACGGCCCAGACUCCUACGGGAGGCAGCAGUGGGGAGUAUUGCACAAUGGGCGGAAGCCUGAUGCAGCAACGCCGCGUGCGGGAUGACGGCCUUCGGGUUGUAAACCGCUUUCGCCUGUGACGAAGCGUGAGUGACGGUAAUGGGUAAAGAAGCACCGGCUAACUACGUG